rnacentral:rRNA from 1 species
AGCGAACGCUGGCGGCAGGCUUAACACAUGCAAGUCGAGCGGGCACCUUCGGGUGUCAGCGGCAGACGGGUGAGUAACACGUGGGAACGUGCCCUUUGGUUCGGAACAACUCCGGGAAACUGGAGCUAAUACCGGAUAAGCCCUUCGGGGAAAGGAUUAUCGCCAAAGGAUCGGCCCGCGUCUGAUUAGCUAGUUGGUGAGGUAAUGGCUCACCAAGGCGACGAUCAGUAGCUGGUCUGAGAGGAUGAUCAGCCACACUGGGACUGAGACACGGCCCACGACUCCUACGGGAGGCAGCAGUGGGGAAGUAUUGGACAAUGGGCGCAAGCCUGAUCCAGCCAUGCCGCGUGAGUGAUGAAGGCCCUAGGGUUGUAAAGCUCUUUCGGCGGGGGACGAUAAU